rnacentral:rRNA from 1 species
CCUACGGGUGGCUGCAGUGGGGAAUAUUGGACAAUGGGCGAAAGCCUGAUCCAGCCAUGCCGCGUGUGUGAAGAAGGCCUUCGGGUUGUAAAGCACUUUCAGUGGGGAAGAAAGCCUUGGGGCUAAUACCCUCGAGGAAGGACAUCACCCACAGAAGAAGCACCGGCUAACUCCGUGCCAGCAGCCGCGGUAAUACGGAGGGUGCGAGCGUUAAUCGGAAUUACUUGGCGUAAAUCGCGCGUAGGCGGUCUGAUAAGCCGGUUGUGAAAGCCCCGGGCUCAACCUGGGAACGGCAUCCGGAACUGUCAGGCUAGAGUGCAGGAGAGGAAGGUAGAAUUCCCGGUGUAGCGGUGAAAUGCGUAGAGAUCGGGAGGAAUACCAGUGGCGAAGGCGGCCUUCUGGACUGACACUGACGCUGAGGUGCGAAAGCGUGGGUAGCAAACAGGAUUAGAUACCCCAGUAGUC